GAGGUAGACGUCCGGAAAGUGCAGUUAAAGGAGUUCUUUUCUAAUAAGUGUUUGAUUCCUGCUGAAGUGGAGCUAAUUGCCAGGACAAAGAGGAAACUGUUUGAUCUACACUACACUCACUCCAGUACCGAGAUUGCUCAAACUGCAUAUGAUUACAUUUGGAAGCUGAGUUUCAACUUGGCAGUUCAGAAGAAAUGUGGUGCAAUAUUACAGAGAUUAAGAGCGUGCAGUUGAUUCAGUUUUACAUGUACAUCCCAAUAUUUCUACUGGGAUUACCGUUCAAUGCAAUGGCCCUGUGGGUGUUCUGCUGGAAGCUGAGGAAGUGGACGGAGACCACAAUUUACAUGACCAGCCUGGCUGUGGCUGAUACCCUGGUGCUCCUAUCUUUACCUUUCAAGCUAUACAGCUACAAACGUGACUGGAAUCUCGGAUUAGGCUUCUGCGCAUUUCUUGAAUGUCUUUAUUUUCUGAACAUGUAUGUGAGUAUCUACAUCACUGUCUGCAUAUGCGUGGAUCGAUACAUUGCAAUAAAGUAUCCAUUAAAUGCAGUUCGUUACAGGUCACCAGUGAAAGCUGCGAUUGCAUGUGGUGUAACCUGGACUUCGGUGUGUCUGAUAAGAAUUCCCCUGCAAAUACAUUCCACCAUAGAAGCUCAAGACCAAAACCAGCGCCAAUGCUUUGUCAAUAGGUCCCGGCACCCUCCCAGCUCCUGGAUUGUCAUUGUCAUUGAGCUGGUUGGAUUUAUAAUUCCCACUAUCAUUUUGAGU